rfam:Lachnospiraceae bacterium 9_1_43BFAA genomic scaffold supercont1.1, whole genome shotgun sequence.
AAAUACCUGGGAUGUUCGACAAUUCUGUUAUUUUGAACCUACAAUACUUUAAACGGGAUUCUUAUAUCUCUGUAAUAUGUCAGGCCACCGAUCGAAGCAGUGGAAGACAGAAAAGCAGAUGCGGUUGCCCACCUAGCGGAAUGCUAGGAGUCAAAAGACAGAAAACGGCACCUCCGGGGAAAGC